UUUAAAAAAUAAUAAAAUAAAAUAAAAUGGGGAUAAUACAGAGAAGAUUAGCAUGGGCCCUGCUCAAAAAAAUGACAUGCAAAUUUGUGAAGUGUUCCAUUUU